UCUUGUUCUUAAUCUCCUUAAAUAAAUACCUUUUGCAAUAUUCCAAGCUGAUAUAUAGAAUUUGAUACCGAAAAAUACUUCUAAACGACUACAGGAAAUGAAAUUUUCACCACAUAUGUUGACAAAAAAAUGCUGGAAUUAAAGAAUAUAUUAAAGUCUGUGCAAAGGGCAAUAAAAUAAUUGAGGACAAGAGUACAAACUGAUGAGUCACCACAAAAAGGAGGUACCAAAGGCAUCCAAUGCCAAAGAUAACAGACGUCUCAGCAAGUCCAUCCACGGCGAGGACAAAGCAAGUAAAGUUUCUCAGAUUUACAAGAUAAUAUUUAUGUAAAAAACAAAAGUAGUCUGGAUAAAAACAAUCCCUCAGUGCAAAUUUAACUCAGAAGAGAUAUUGCCAACUAAUGAGGAAAGUAGAAUUUCACAGUCGUACCUAUCGUCAGAAAGAAAAAGGUUGUUUCGAGCUAUUUGAACCAUUCAUUUAUAAUGACAUACAACUGUGAAGAUAAGAGAAUUAAUUAUUUAAAUAUCUGAUGUAAGUAAUGAUAUAAAAAAUUUUCUUUUAAACGAGGAUAUUAAUUCAAAAUUUAAUUUAAUUAAUUUAUAAAAUUAUUUAAAAAAUAAUAUUUAUAACAUUUUUUAGUUCAAACUUAAACUUUGCUUACAAAAAAACCACUGUUUGUAUUUUGAAUUUAUGCAGUUACUUUUUUUUUGUUGAAAAAAAAUUAAAAAUUAAAAAGAUUAAUUUAUUUUUAAAAUUAAGAUAAAUCAUCCAUUUAUAAGAAAAUUUAUAAAAUUUGUAAAUUUUUUUAAAUUUACAUAUUAUCUAUCAAUAUAUCAUAAAAAUUUCAAUUUGAAUAUUUUAUAUUCAAACCUUAAAUUUUAAUUAAUUAAACCAAUUUUUAUCGAAAUUUAUUCAAUUAAUUUAUAUUUACAUAUGCCUCCGGUUAUAACAAUUUGAAUAAAACAAUAUAAUCAAAAUGUACUUCUUUCAAUUUUAUUUACAGAAUCAAAAGGAAAGUUUUUGCCAACUGAAUUAAUUUUUAAUCAAUUUUUAACACCUUACUUUCUUAAAAUCGUAAUGUUAUUGUUUUUAAUAAUUUAUUUUGGAAGGCAAGUCCCUUUAAACUCUUUCCCAUGAUUCGUCCUUGGUCACAAUUUUUAUAUGUAAAAUAAAAGUGAAUACUUAAGAAUUACAAUAAAAAAGUUUGGGGUGAGAAAAUUAAAAAUUAAUUUAAAAUUAUAGUAUUUAAAUUGAUUUAGAUUAUUUUUUAUUUAAUUUAAAUCAAAUUUAAUUAUUAAAUAUAUAUAUAUAUAUUAAAUUUAGAUCGAAUUUAAAUCUAAAUGUAAGAUCUAAUUCGAUCUCAAUUUAAAAAAAAAAAAAAACUUUUGACCUUAUCUAGAAUUUUUAAAAACCCGCACGUAUUGAAUUGAAGCAAAUCAAAAAUUCACGAGAUAAAGGGUUUGUUUUGGCAACCUUAAACGUAAUAAAAAAGAAAUGACAAGAAAAAUAAGUUAAAUAGAGAAACAACGUAAUAAUUUUAUUAAUAUAAUACAUAUAUAUAAUUAUAAAUUAAAAUAAAUAAUAAAAUAUAUAUCUGAACUAAAUAAAAUACUCUAAACUUGCAUCUAAUUUAAUAAUGAUUUUUAAAAAAACCUCAAGGCGAUCCCAAAUUUUAAAAGAACAUAUUUAUUGGAUCCGAAGGAAUCAAAACCUAUUACGUUAGGAAUAGAAUUGUAACCAUAUUUGGCUGCAGGAUUAUUUUAAUUUUUUUAAAGUUAUAUUUCGAAUAUGUGAGAAGUAAAUUUUUCAUGUCAUGUUUUAAAGGAAGACAACAUAUAGAUAAAUAUAAGAGUAUUUAUUUUUUAUUAUAAAUUAUAAAUUAAUUAUAUAUAAAAAUAUGUCUUUUAUUAAAUUAAAAUACUACAUAAUAUCUUUAUUGAUAUAAUAUAUAUAAAUAAAAAUUAAAUAAAUAAUAACAAAUAUUCUUUAUAUAUCUUUAAAAGUAUCGGACAGAGCGCCUCAAACAUUAUUUUAUCUUGACUCAAGUUAUUUAAAAAGAUAAAACUUAGCUCAAUUUUUAUUUAAAGAAAAAAAAUGAAUGAUUGGAUUAUGAUAAAUUGAAAUCUAUCACAUACAUGUUGUUUUAUCAUCCUUAUAUUCAUCUACUCUUUCUUGUAAAAUCAAACUUAUAGGCUGAUACGAAAAACAUUAAUUCGACAAUUAAGGAAUUAUUGAUGCAUGCGUGCACGCAUCCAAGUUCAUUUUUCUUUCUUGAUGCUUGUCGUCUUUGACUAUCUUUGUUUGAUUAUUGGACAAAAAUCAUUGUAAUGCCCAACUUUAUUUUUUGCAUUUUUUUCCUUUCAUUAUAAGUUUGAUUAAUACUGUUGCAUGGAGAAAUCAAAGAAAUACAAAUGGUAAAGAAAAUAUAAAAGUGAGGAUAAUCACACCAUUCGCAUUUACUAAAAUUAUUAUUAUUAUUAUUAUUAUUAUAUCCAUGUUUUGAAUGAUUUUUUAAAUUUUCGUGCAAUAAUAAAAAACUUGCCAUAUUAUUUCUAUUUAAUUAUAUUUUUCUCUCUUCCACCCACAUAUGGCAUGAAGGUAAGAAAAGCUAUUAGUGUUAAAUGUGUACGAUUAGAUAAAACAAGAACCAGCAACAACUCUGAACAUUUAAAGAUUUAAAGAUUUAUAUUUGAUGCAUUAUGUGUAUAAAUGUUAUAUAUUAGAAGUGAAUCACACAAUGAUAUUUUAUAAAAAAAUAAUUUUAAAUAUAUAUUUAAAAUUAAGUGUAUUUGUUUUUUAUGAUUUUAAAAUUUUAAAAUUAAUUUUUUUGAAGUGUCAUACAUAAAUAAAUAUAGUUAUAUAUAAUGAUAAUAUAUCAAAUAUAAAUUCAAUAUCUUGUUUUUAUUAUUGACUUUUACAAACCCGAUAAAGAAAAAGAGUUUCCAUCCAAGGUCAGGUUUUCUCUUGUCUAUCAUUUUUCCAUUGAAAUAUAACUAAAUUUCCUUAGGUAUUUUAGCUUUGAGAUAAAAACUAUUGUAGCCAUAAAUUGCCUUAAUUGUUUGGUGCAUUAUCCUCCAUUUAAAAAACAAGAUUUGAAUAUCCGCUCCCCAAUUAAAAAAAAAAAAAAAAACUACUUCUGUAAAAACAGAAUUUAUUAUAUUUUAUAUAAGGAAAAAAUUAAUAGAACAAUAAAAAAGUAUAAAUUCUUUUUUUGGUUAAAUAACUCCUAAAGUAAUUGUAGGUUGUUUAAUUUUCGUAGAUGUAUGGGCACAAUUCCAUCAGAAUUUAAAAUCUUUUAGUAUUUUUGUUUUUCUUUUGUAACCAAUAUAUAUAUAUAUAUAUAUAUAUAUAUUUGAAAAGAUUCAUUUGCAUUGAUAUAAAACUUUGUAGUUUUACAUUUUUUAAUUAUUAAUUUCAAUAAAUCUAAAAAAGAAAGAGAUAAUUAAAAAAAAAAUUUUAUCUCAUCAUUAGAUUUAUUAAAAUCAAUAUUAGAAACCAGUGUAAAAUUAAAAAUUUUAUACUAUAAUGAUAACUCAAAAAGAGAAAAAAUGAUUGAAUCGCAUCCUCUUAAUUUAUUAAAAUUAAUGAUUAAAAAAUUAUAUAAAUUAAAAAAUUUUAAACUAGAGUAAAUUAAUUCCUUAUAUAUAUAUAUAUAUAUAUAUGAGUAGGAAUUAAUUUAUAAUAAUGUAAUUCUUAUACUUUUUUGGAACAUUUAAAUCAAAAUUAUUAUAUUUAAAAACAUUAUUUUAAUUCAAAUGAGAGUCAAAUUAACGAGACAAUACAUGCGAAUGCGGGAUGGUUAUCAUGCAUGAAUCUGCAGCUUAUUGUUUGUUUCCUGAAAUGUUUGGACACAUUCAUCGGCUAAAGUCUAUAUAAGGGAACACUCUUCUUCCAGAUUUUCACAAGUUGCUCAAAUAUUGAGUGGAUUACUCUAAAUUAGAAAUUUUCAAUGGGAUUGUCGCUUUUCUUUGUUCUUCUAGCCCUUCCUAGCUUCAUCCUCUUCUUUCUCCAAAAACAUAGAAACAAAAAUGCUGCCAAGUUUCUUCAUCCCCCUGGCCCGUCUGGUCUUCCCUUGAUCGGCAACUUACUCCAGCUUAAUAGCUCAGCGGCUACUCAUAUUUAUCUUUGGGAGCUCUCUCAAAAAUAUGGUCCUUUAAUGUCCUUGCAACUUGGUCAUAGACAAACUCUAGUAAUUUCUUCGGCAAACAUGGCCAAAGAGAUCAUGAAAACCCAUGACCUCGAUUUUUGUAGCAGGCCUACUUUAUGUGGCCAGCAAAAGUUAUCUUAUAAUGGCUUAGAUUUGGGUUUUUCACCUUAUAAUUCUUAUUGGAGAGAGAUUAGGAAAAUAUGCGUCGUCCAUCUCUUUAACCCUAACAGAGUGUUACUUCAUCGUCCCAUUCGAGAAGAUGAAGUUGCUCAAAUGAUCGAAAAGGUAUCCAAAGCAUCAGUCGGUUCGAAACCAAUCAAUUUGAGUGAGGCAUUGAUGUGUCUUACAAGUAGAAUAAUUUAUAGAGUAAGUUUCGGCAAGAGAUAUGAAGAAGAAGGAACUGAAAGAAGUAGAUUCGAUGCGUUGCUUAAGGAAACUCAGGCCAUGGUUGGGAGCUUCUUCUUUUCUGAUUAUAUCCCUUUCAUGGGUUGGGUCGAUAGACUCUCCGGUUUACUUGGUCGUCUAGAAAAAAAUUUCAAAGACUUUGAUACCUUUUAUCAAGAACUCAUUGAUGAACAUCUUGAUCCAAAUCGGCCAAAACCCGAGCAAGAGGAUUUUCUUGAUGUUCUACUACAAAUAUGGAAGGAUCGUGUGUUUCAAGUUGAUCUCACUUUCGAUCACAUAAAAGCUGUGCUGAUGGUAAUCGAUCUUCACUCAAAACUUAUUUUAGUUAUUUUUUAGUAAAUUUUAUUCAAAUCACGAUUUUUUAAAAAAUGUUUCGUGUUCAUCAUUAACCUAAAAAUCUCCCUCGACAUUUUAAAAUUGUUUCAAAUUUCAUUUUUUUUGGCAGUCAAAUGUUAGAAGCUUGAUGCAAUUAGGCACUUCUGUUCCAUGUGAAUGUUCAAAUGAUCAAUCAAUCCACAAUUUAAAUACACAUGGCACUAAUUGUCUGUUAAAUAUUGUCAAGAAUUUAAUGUCACAUUAAUUGAUGGAGGAGGAAGCAUGUAUUUGGAAUAAUUUAAAAGAUCACAGAUGGAAAUUUGAAAUUUAAUUAAAUUGAUUUACAUAAUUAUUUAUUACAAAUUUGAGAUUUAAAUUUUAGUAUAUAAUUUAACCUUUUUUCUCAUUUUCAAACUACAGCCCUCUUUAAAACAAAGAAAAAGAAAAACAGAAUAAGUAAUGAUAAACAUGAAAGUUUUAGUUUAAGGCUGAAAUGAAACAAUAUAUUUUAAAAAGUCUCAUAUUGUAAAUAAAAUGUACUCAUUUAUUCAGGGUUAUCAUUAAUUUUCUAACUUCCUAGUAGGAGUACGAUUGUUACCCAUUUUGUUUUCUUUUUAUGUAGAAUGUAUUUGUUGGUGGGACCGACACCAGUGCUGCAACCGUGAUUUGGGCAAUGACCUUCCUAAUGAAGAAUCCUAGGUCUAUGAAAAAAGUUCAAGAGGAAAUCAGAAAUCUCAAUGGAAACAAAGGUUUCGUAGAUGAAGAUGAUAUUCAAGGUUUGCCAUAUCUUAAAGCUGUGAUAAAAGAAACAUUCAGAUUGCAACCAACGGCUCCAUUAUUAGUGCCACGAGAAACAAUUAGGAAGUGCAAUAUAGCCGGGUAUGAAAUACCUGCCAAAACACUAGUUUUCGUGAAUGCAUGGGCAGUAGGAAGAGAUCCUGAAGCUUGGGAAAACCCUGGAGAGUUCUAUCCUGAGAGAUUCAUUGGCAGCUCCAUCGACUUCAAGGGACAUGACUUUGGGCUCAUACCAUUUGGUGCUGGAAGAAGGGGCUGUCCUGGAAUACAUAUGGGAGUUGCAACUGUAGAGCUAGCCCUUGCCAAUCUGCUUUGCAAAUUUGAUUGGGAAAUGCCGGUUGGGACGGACAAGGAUGACUUAGACUUUGAUGUGAUACCUGGUCUUGCUAUGCACAAAAAAAAUGCUCUUUUCCUUGUAGCUAGGAAGUUUAAUGUUUGAUUCGAUCCAUGUAAGGUUAAAUUAGUUUGCUGCUUGCUAUGGUUUGGAGUGUUUCAAUUACAUUUUGUGUUUUGAGUGUAUUUUAUGAUAAAAUCAAUGUCCACAUGUGUUGGUUAUGAAGAGUUAUGGUCUCAUAGACUUGAUUUUGUGGAAGUUAUAACAGAAUUUUGAAGUAGUUAAACCACAACCAAAAAAAUACAAAUUGAGAUUAGAUUUAUUAAUAAAAACCAAAUUUAACCAAUUGAAAUAUUUAAAACAAAAUUCUAUCCAUUUAUUAGGAGUUAAAUUUUGUGACUAUGAUUAAGUCAAGUAAAAAUUCCAUUGUAACUUCCACCAAACUGAAUCCAUGGGAUAAAAACUCUUGAAAUGAUAAUUUUUUUUUCUUACAUAAUUUGUGAGCGUGUUUAAAAAUUCAAUUGAAUUUAUUUAGAUUCUAAUUGCAUCGGACUAUUUAUAUGGAUAUUUAGAUUUAAAAGAUCCGUAAUUUAAUUUAUUUGAGCUUGAAAACCCGAAAGCCAAUGUAUCGCCCAACAAGGACCCAAGUUUUUAUAUUAAUUAAGUUUUAUUCAUUUAAUUUUAAAAAGUAAAUAAAAGGACGAAAAUCGAAAUAAAAAAUUGGUGGCAGUGAUGUGAUGCUGCCGUGAAUGGCACCAUCCGAAGAGAGCGGCUGGGCUGUCGAUUUCAUGCUGCCAGCCUCCCCCUGCAGCUUCACUCUUCCCUCCCGUGAUCACCUUGUUCAGGGUAAUGGUAGCUAAUCCACCGUACUAAGCAACCAAAGUAGAGCUUAACAGGAAAAUCAAAAUUUUUAAUUAAAGUGCAAGUUUGAAAACCAAGAACGCAGAAGAUAGGAUAGCAAAAAUUAUGUAAUUUAAGAAAUUCAAAUAAAAGAUCAAAUAUUUAAAUUUGAAAUUUUAAAAUUUUUAAAAUUAUGAAACUCACCAAAGACAUAGUGGAAUAAAAGACAUAAGCUUUUUAAAUUAUUACUAUAAUUUUUCCAUUAAAUUUAAUUUGUGUUUUAAUAUUUUAUAUUCAAAAUUAUAUGCAUAUUUUUUUUAUCAAAAUUAUAUCCAAUUAAAUAUAUAAUAAUAAAAUAUAUUUCCUAGCAAAAAAAAACUUUUUUUAAAAAAUAAUUACAUUAAUUACAUGAAUCUUAAUUAUAUAUUUGAAUAUUUAUGGCUUAUGGAGCUGAGGUUUGUACUUAUUUGUGUAUUAUCAUUUUGUGAUUUGAUUGAUAGAUUAUAUGCAUUCACUUUGAUACAAAUGAUAAAAUCCAAUCUUGGGGUGUGAGUGAAUUGUUAUAAUCAAAAGAUAGUGGAAUUGAACAUGCUAAUUAAUUAGAAACUGAAUGAGUGUAUGAUAAAAUCCAAUCUUGGGGGGUGAGUGAAUUGUUAUAAUCAAAACGAUAGUGGAAUUGAAAAUGAUAAUUAAUUAGAAACUGAUUGAGUCCAUCUGUUUUAUGCAGCAUCUACCAACUAUGGUUGUCUUGAGAGGUCAUUUGAUCUGUUAGGCAAUAGUUGUGGUAGUAAAAUCCUGAAACUGAACUUCACUUCUAUCAUCCAGACUAGUAUAACUAACUGUCCUUCAUCUUUCUAAAGGGUAAAAAAUCCAGACACUUGUUUUUUAUUUUUAUUAAGUUGUUGUUAUGAUUUAUUUUACAGGUAAUGCUUGGAAUCCUAUGAAGCAUGGACACGGACAUGUUUACGAUAUAAUAUGUAUAUGGUGACAUCAUGACAAUUUGUGAAAAAUAAGGAUAUGGAUAUGGCAAGAUAGAUAAUAAAAAAAGAGUAUUUUUUAUAUAUUAUAAUCAUAUGUUAAAAAUAUAUAAUAGAUAUCGGGUUGAUUUUUAAAGGUCAAUUACCCUUACAAAGAAAAUUUGAUGUAAAUACAGCACUAAAAAAACAUAGGAUGUCCUUAUCCGUACAAGAAUUGUCUUUUUUUUUUUUUUUUCAUCGAAUCCGAUCAAGUUCGAUAUGUAAUGUUUUCCGACAGGUCCAGCUGGUACGUAUGUCGUAAGCAUUAAAGUGUUAACAAUGUAACACAAAUACGCAAGAGGUUCAAACGUAUCCUUACUUCAUAAUUGGAAUCUAAACCAUCCAUGACAAAGUUUGACCUUGUAUAUUUAGAAGUUUUGAGUGCUUCGCUUCUUUCCUGCCAAUUAAUUUUAUGUUCUGUUAAUAGAAGCGAUAAGUUUCGCUCUACAGGCAUUCGGUUUAUAAAAAUGAUAUGUUUCAGUUCACAGGCAUUUGGAUAGGUUGCAUUAUUUGUGGAGACAACAUAACUUUCCAGUAUUUAAAUAUUUAUGGUUUCUUUUUGUUUCAAGUUCUGGUAACCCAGUUCUUGUACUGAAACAGAAUGUGAACAGGGAAAAUAAAGAGAGAAUGAAAAUGACUAACAGAAAACAAAAGUUCUGACGCAAUGGAAAAAUUCCUAAGCUGUAAGGGAUGGUUUUCCUCCAUUAUUGAGCAUGAUACAUGCUAGAAUUGUGAUCCACUGUAGCCAGUUGACAAAUACUGAUAUCCCGACUUAAGAUGUGCAGUUGUUCGAACAUAGCAAUAAUUAUGAGUCGCAUAAAAAAUUCAAGCUACAAAAAUUGCCUAAAAUAAGCUGUGAUGUUUUUUGCAUUCAUUUUGAAGGAAGUACAAUGCUGGGUUUGCAUAAUUUAUGAGACAAUAUUUGGAGUAGCAUGCUGAUUCAGUUUAGACUCCUUAAAGAUUGUCAGGCUCGUUUCACAUGAAGAAGUUGAUCUGAAAUUCUGCAGAAUAAAUUGAGCAUAGUUAUUUAUAAGCUUCUGCAGAAUAAAUGGAUGCUUGAGUUUGUGUUCUUUUAUGUCAAGACAUAGGACAUCCCCCUGAUUUGAUGAUUGAAAUGAGCUCCUCAAACCAAUACUUGUGCUUAGCAGCUGGAACACUUUGCCUCGAUCAACGUAGAUGUUUCUUUACGCCAACCCAGAGUGCUUAUAAAGAUCUAAGAAGCAUAUAAAAAUGUUUAGUGCCUACUAUAAAUAGUUAAAAUUCAUACAUAAAGGCAAACAGUUCUCCAAGCAAGUAUAAAAGAAAACCACAUGAAGCUCUGUUGCUUUACAUUGUUUAUCAUAUAACCUCAGGUUCGUCAAAAGCUCAAUCCAGACAAAGAUUUUCAUUUGUGGCUCCAACAAACUGAAAGAAACUAUCAUCGGAAAAAACAAAGACUUUUGAUCAAUGUUUUAUGGAUCGGAUAUGUUAUGUCAUCAAUAUGAAGAAUUGUGCUAGAGUGGAAUGAAACUUCUAAACAUUAUUGCACAACAGAAUGAUAUUACAAAGAAUUUUAACACUGUUACAUUUCGAAUAUCAAUUUUGCAUUUGUAGAAGGCCCUAGCUCAGCCAAAUUUACCUGCUUGAUGCAGUUCUUACCCUAUCUUAUCAUUUAUGUUUGCACUGCUGACACAGAAAAGAUUUCUGUUGUAGGAAAGGAGCUGCUGCCCUAAGAACUUCGAAACCACCAAUGAAUUGAAGUUAUUUCGUCAUGUCAGACAAGUUCCACAACAUCAGAUUUUUGUUUUGAAGCAUUUGGAAUAAAAAUGGCAGUACCAAAAAGGGGAGAAAAAAAAAGGAGAGAAAGGAAUCCUAACAAGGCUGGAAAUUUUCAUUAUGCUAAGUAUUAUGAUUUCUUAUAAUAUAUGGUUUCUGAUCAUAAACAAGGAACCUAUAUACUCAAAGAGUAUGAUAUAUGGGCUAUGGAUGGUGGAACACGAUUCACGGGUAUGGAAUGUUCAAGGCACUUAUUGCCGGUUCUGGAAGACCACCUUAUUCAGUUUAAAAGACAAAAUUAUGGUAAAUUAAACAUAAAAUAUAAAAGAUUUUCCUUCACUAUAAAAGAAGAACCUUUCAAAAUGAUUUCAGAACCCUGGAAAUAACUAAUUUUUUUGGCAGUCUGUGUAUAGUUGUAACAUUACCACUUUCAUAGGAAACAAUGUUUCCCUUGGGGGAAUUUUGGCGCCACUGACACUGUCCUCACUCCCAAGUCGGGCAAUAAAUCUUUAAUAUCUCAUCAUUUAAAAGAAAUUGAGUUCUCAAUGGGUUUGACGCAGAGAUUUUGGUAGACUCAUUCAGGCUGCCAUAGGGUCAAUUUGACAGCAGUGAAGGCAAUGCAUGCUUCAGCUAAGUAAACAGCAUUCUUCUUUUUCAGGUCUUUCCAUCCGCUUUUGCAAACCACUUUGUGUGCUCCUAAGAAGGCACUACUCACUAGUCUCUGCGAGUCACUGAAACCAGAAUUAGAUAUCAAAUAAAUCUUCAAGCAUAUAAGAAGAUAACAAACAUUUAAUAAUUGAAACUAUUCUUGAAUGAUUAUGCCAAAAAAAAAAUCAGAAGUCAAUGAAACAAAAUGAUUAAUAGAUAUAAACAUUUAACAUAUCUGUUCUGUUCUUGAAAUUGUCCUAUAGGGAAUUUUUACCAGAAGACUGAAAGAAAUAUGUUUCAUAGACUACAAAAAAGAAUUUUCUAAAGUUUUCUAACUUUUAGUAAACAAUCCAAUGCCAUAGUUACUCAGUCUUUUCUGUGACCAAUCACAGGUAUGGCAGAAGGAAGUACACAUAAAGAAAAGCCAAAGACAUGAGGAUAUCAUGAAUGAGUCAUUAACAUAAGAAAAAAAUAUAUAUAGAAAUAAACUAUAAGACCUACUCAUUCUGAAACUAUUCCUAAAUUUUCUUUUAAAAUGGUAGCAAAACAUUGAAUCCAUGUAUCAAACCUGGAGAGAACCAUCUGCAAGUUCCAAUAACUUCUAAAUUAAAUCAUUAUACUCCAUGACGGAAGGAAGAACUUCUUUCUCAAUUCUGCAAAUAUAGAUUACACUACAAUCAAAAGUUUUGCAUAAAAGAGAUUCACUCGUUUCUAACAAAUGAGCUUCAAAAAUACCUGUCCCCAAUUUAAUAACCAGGAUUUUAUCAAUGCUUAAACUUAAAAGGUUAAAGUCUGAAUUUGAUUCCUUUACUACCUCAAUCCUAUCGGUUUAGUCCAACUUCAAUUUUAAUGAAUUUAGUCCAUGUAGUUUUAUUAAACAUAGAUUUUUUAUACAUAUUUCAUUUCAUUGUAAAACAAAAAGCUAUGUGUGUAAUGGAUUGAACUAGUGAACAUUCUAUUAUGAAAUAAAAAAAAUAAUAAUCAAGAAUAUAAAUCACUUGAGCACUUGAUUUAAUAGUACGUUCAUGUUCUUCAAAUAAGUAGCAUAUAAUUGCAAAGUUGACAUACACCUGAUUUCUGGGCGUUUCUUCCGGUAACAAAUUAGCAAUUAGAAUGCAAGGAAUGUGGGCUAUUUUGGGCCACUCUUGUCCUUCAUCCUCCUUGCAUCGUUCUCUUAGCAGUGGACAGUCAACAAUAUCUAGUUGCAAAAGUGAGUCAAACAUCUCCUUUUCCGGAAGGAAUUUGAUCACGGGGCAGCUUCGGAUUUCCAAUGAUUCAAGAAAUUUGAGAUUUUGAAAGCCUUUGGAGGAUAGAGUUUCCAGGUUUGGAAAACCGAAGAUUGUGAGGGAGGUGAGAGUGCGGGGCAGAAGCAUUUCCUCACAUGGGAAAGACACCACAUCUAGAGAAGCACCGUUGAUGGACAAAUGUUUAAGGGAGGUGAGUUUGUGCAAACCCCACUCGAUCACUGACUUGCAAAUAUUGGGUUGCAAGAUUGUAAGUGAAGUGAGAUUGGGAGGGAACCCCUCUUCCGGAAAUGAUAUCACACUUGGACAAUCAAAUAUGAGCAAUUCUCGCAUAGAGACGAUGUUGUGGAUGCAUUUAGGUAAGGCAUGGAGUUUUUCACACCGAGAAAGGCUAAGAUAUCUGAGCUUGUUUAAUUCACGAGGCAAAGAUCUCAAAUUAUCACAACCGCAGAUAACCAUCGAUUCAAGGGAAGAGUUCUCUUCAAUUUCUUGAGCUAUGGACUCUAGUGCUCUGCAUCUUCUUAUAUCGAGGUAUUUAAGCCCCAUAGGUAACUUGCCAUUGGAUGACAAGGAUGCCAACUUUUCACAACCAUAAAUGUCAACAUGUUGAAGCCUAAUAGGUAACUCGCCCCUUGAGGAUAAAGAUAUCAGAGACUUACAAUUUUCAAUCACCAAGUGCUCUAGAAGAGGCGUGCUGUUGAUGUUGUUAUUUACUCCAUCCAGCAAGUACUGCAAAUUCUCACACUCCUUAAUGGUUAAACGUCUUACGUUUGGAGGCAAGUUUCCAUUUGAAAUUGAAAUCAAUCUUGGGCAUCCCUCAAUUCCUAGCACCGUAAGGGAUCUGUAGCUGUGUAGGCUUUCUGCUAACCUUUCUAGCCUUUCACAACAGUGUAUGCUCAAAUGUUCAAUAUGGCAAGGGAUUCCUAACUGCAUAUGCUCUUCCUUUCCGUCCUCUGCCCCUAUGGAAACAAGUCUUGAGCAAUUAUGAAUUUCCAAAAAGCGAGUAGGCCUCAAAUGUGUUGAGGGUCCUUCCUGGUUCCGCCAUGAAGAAAUUAGCUCCUCACAUCCACAUAUAUAAAAAGACGUUCAGCUUUUAUCAACCCUAACAUCAUCCCCUCCAUUGGAGAAGUGAAUUUUGAAAUGUCUGAAAGAGAGACUCUUUCAAUGAAUGAGCCAGAAUUUGCACAACUUGUAGACGACACCUCUUGGCACCCAUUAAUUUCCAAGUCAGACAACUUUGGAAGGCUUGAGAGUGAAACUACCAACUUCUCACAUUCUUGAAUCACAAGUCUCUCCAAUGAAGGAAGACAACUAGGUAGACUUCUCAGCUGUUGACACAAAUUAAUCUUCAGCUUCUUCAAGGAAGGAAGACGAUUAGGUAAACUUCCUAACAACUUGGGGCAAUUUGAAAUGAUGAGCUCAUGAAGGUGUUGGAAACUCCUUACAUUUUCAUCAACUUCACAGGGAUCCCAUUCCUCCCAUUCUGGCAUGUCCUGAAAACGUAAUCUCUCUAGUGACGGAAAUGCAUUAAUCGAUAGAUCCUUUCCAAAAAUAUUAGCACCCACUUUUUUAACCUUACUCAUCCUCCGGAUAGAAAGCGAUUUUAGCGACGUUAAUCUUCCAACAGCUGGUAAUAAUGUGCAAUUUGGACAGUAAUACAGAUCCAGAAUCGAUAGCUUUCCAAAUGAAGGAUCUCCGAACCAAUUUGGGAAUGUUUCACCUCCAUAACAUUCGAUGGUAAGCCUUUCAAGCAUUUUAGGAGGUUGGAGUGAAUCCAAGAUGUCCUUGUGAAUUUCUUCUCCGGCGAAAUUAUAACUCCACUCUAAAGCUAAAUCACGAAGGUUCGACUUAUAACAUAACCCAGCCACCCAUGCAUCUUGAGCUUUGACAACAUUCUGCAAUUCUGAAAUAACAAGUCCACCCUUAAGAUUAGACAAAUUCUCCAUCUCCCUUAUCUUACGGCCAUUGUCUUGACUGACAACAAAAUUUGUCAAUGUUUGGAAAUUGGUUAGUUCACCGAUUCCCAUUGGCAUCAUUUUUAUUGAAUCUGCACCUCUAAUGUCAAGAUGCCUUAGGUUAAUUAAAAAUCUCAUUUCAGAAGGAAACUCUUCAAGACGAGAACACCCCGCAACAGCAAGGUCUCUAAAUUGUAAAGCUUGCAUAUUGAAUCCGGUAGAGUUUUGAUUAUAGUGCCAGAAAAAUUUAGAUAACGCAGAUGCACCAAAUCUCCAAUAAUAUUGGGAAACUCCGUCAGGUAGCACCCUUGUAAAGAAAACACCCUUAAGUAUUUAAAUUCUGGCAACAACUCACUGAGAACUUGAUUAGAGAUAUACCUCCACCCUUCGGGCAUCUUCAACGGUAGGAAGGUUCUUAAACCCUUCUUUCCGUAAAAGACUUGGAACAUUUUAAUUCUGUCUUUCCUACCACCAAUGUAAGAUGAAUGGCGAGCAUGACUGGAAACGUUCAAUGCCUUGUCACCCUCCACUCUGAAGCAUAUAUCUUUGGCAACUGAAUGAGCCAAAUCAUUAAUCAGAUCAUGCAUUAUAUAUCGAGAAUCAUCCUUGUUGGAUAUUUCAAAAAAUGACCUUUGUACAAGUUCUUGAAAGUACUCAUGACCCAAAUCUUCAUUUGCUUUGUAGCUUCCACUCGCAGAAAGCCUUCUGCCAUCCAUAACAAGACUAUUUCUUCCUCGGUAAAUUCAUAGUCUUUGGGGAGUAAGGCACAGUAAGCAAAACAUCGCUUUAGAUCUGCAGGAAGAUGAUGAUAGCUUAAUCGUAAAGCUUGAAAUAUGUUACUCCUCUCUUCUGGUAAAUUCCAAAUCUCACUUUUUAGUAUCUCUUUCCAUUUACCAAUGUCCACCUUAUUGCGCAAAAGGCCUCCAAUGGUCUUAGCUGCCAAGGGCAAACCCUUGCACCUUUUCGCAAUCUGUACAACAAAUUCUCCCAAGUUUGGAUGCCCACUAAAAUCUUUUGCUCCUAAUGCAUGUUGAGUUAAUAUAGAAAUGCAAUCAUCAUCUGACAACGUUGGCAGCUUGUAAUCUGGGAUAGUACCCACCAUUGAUGAAACAGUUUUAUCACGUGUUGUCACAACAAUCGUAGUUCCUACGCCAAAAGGGGAUAUUAGACGACUCCAAUCAUCAUAGUUUUGAAGCCAAAAAUCAUCCAAAAUCAGAAGUAGUUUUUUCUCCACCAGCUUCUUCUCCAAUUCUGUUUGAAGCUUAUUCAAAUCAUCUCCAGCAUUAGAAGAUUCAGAACUAACUGAUCGCAAAAUUGAUUUCGUUAUCUCCUCCAUCUUAAAGUCUUCAGAAACACAGACCCAUGCUUUAAGAUCAAAAUGAUUAUCUACACGACUAUCAAUUGUAGACAAGCUGAGCAAGCGUUGUUUUGCCAAUCCCUCCCAUGCCAACGAUGGGAAUCACAGAAGCUCCAAAAAUAUUGCUAUUAUCACUCCCAAAAUCAAUUCAAGGAUUGCUUCCUAUUCUUUUUCCCGACCGCAGAUUUGAGUUUUCAUUCACAAGCAAGUGGUUGAUCGCCAUUCCAAUGCUCUUUUUCGCCUCCCACCACCACUUUUAGUCAAAGCCCAAGACACCUUUUUGUGCUUCUAAAUUUUGAAAUCUAGCAGUGAUUUCUUUUAUCUUGACAUCAUUUCCUUAUUAAAUGAUAAAUGACUGCUGAACCUGGUAACGCAAGUAUGAACGAGCUUUUGUACCUUACUGGCGCUGUGAUCUUGAUGUUCCCUCUUUAACUUGAGUCGCAAAGCUUCUGUAGCAAACUCAUCCAAUAUGUCAUCCGCAUCGUAUGCCAAGUCUUGAAGCUGGACCAACCAACUUUUCACAUGCCGGUCCUUCUCUGCAUCAUCUAGCACUGCAUGAAUAUUGUGCAAAGUCUUUUCCCACUUCUUGAGUUCCUCGCAAACUUCCUUCUCAGUUACAAAGUUGAGAAACUCAGAAGAGGCCAACUUACUAAACAACCCUUCAAAGAACACAGAUAAAGCAGCUUCAACGACGGACAUGGCUUUUGACCUGCAAAAACACAGAGAUUAUGUGUGUAAACUUGAAACAGAUGAGGGAAAAAAAGGUGGUGCAUCCAAAAAGAAAGAGAUGCUCAAUCAGUAAUUUAUGAAGGGCAAUGGGUAGUAGGCUUUACUCUACGCCAUUCUUAUCAGNNNNNNNNNNNNNNNNNNNNNNNNNNNNNNNNNNNNNNNNNNNNNNNNNNNNNNNNNNNNNNNNNNNNNNNNNNNNNNNNNNNNNNNNNNNNNNNNNNNNNNNNNNNNNNNNNNNNNNNNNNNNNNNNNNNNNNNNNNNNNNNNNNNNNNNNNNNNNNNNNNNNNNNNNNNNNNNNNNNNNNNNNNNNNNNNNNNNNNNNNNNNNNNNNNNNNNNNNNNNNNNNNNNNNNNNNNNNNNNNNNNNNNNNNNNNNNNNNNNNNNNNNNNNNNNNNNNNNNNNNNNNNNNNNNNNNNNNNNNNNNNNNNNNNNNNNNNNNNNNNNNNNNNNNNNNNNNNNNNNNNNNNNNNNNNNNNNNNNNNNNNNNNNNNNNNNNNNNNNNNNNNNNNNNNNNNNNNNNNNNNNNNNNNNNNNNNNNNNNNNNNNNNNNNNNNNNNNNNNNNNNNNNNNNNNNNNNNNNNNNNNNNNNNNNNNNNNNNNNNNNNNNNNNNNNNNNNNNNNNNNNNNNNNNNNNNNNNNNNNNNNNNNNNNNNNNNNNNNNNNNNNNNNNNNNNNNNNNNNNNNNNNNNNNNNNNNNNNNNNNNNNNNNNNNNNNNNNNNNNNNNNNNNNNNNNNNNNNNNNNNNNNNNNNNNNNNNNNNNNNNNNNNNNNNNNNNNNNNNNNNNNNNNNNNNNNNNNNNNNNNNNNNNNNNNNNNNNNNNNNNNNNNNNNNNNNNNNNNNNNNNNNNNNNNNNNNNNNNNNNNNNNNNNNNNNNNNNNNNNNNNNNNNNNNNNNNNNNNNNNNNNNNNNNNNNNNNNNNNNNNNNNNNNNNNNNNNNNNNNNNNNNNNNNNNNNNNNNNNNNNNNNNNNNNNNNNNNNNNNNNNNNNNNNNNNNNNNNNNNNNNNNNNNNNNNNNNNNNNNNNNNNNNNNNNNNNNNNNNNNNNNNNNNNNNNNNNNNNNNNNNNNNNNNNNNNNNNNNNNNNNNNNNNNNNNNNNNNNNNNNNNNNNNNNNNNNNNNNNNUUUCAUUAUUUUUUUAUUAUUUUAUUAUUUAAAUAUUAAAAAUUUUUAAUUUUUCAUUUUAAUAGCCUUAAAAUUUGAAUUCUUGUUUGUCCCUCUUUGAGAAAGUCAAUUCUAAACCUCCUCCAAAAUUUUUCUUAAAAUCUAGAGGAAAUCUCAUCAAUCUCUCUCAUUUCGAACCUCCAAAACACCUUCUUUAUCCAUCCAUAACCACCGAAGUAGCCUAAAACCCUGGUCAAAGCUUCCAACUUAUUACAAACCUCUAACUUUUGUGAAAACCUUGAAAAAUCUAAUCUGUCAUAGUCUGUCAAUAAGCAUACCCUACUAUCACUCACCACAUCACCUUGCCUUGUCACCUAAAUCCACAUCACUAGGCAUAUCAUCCAACCACAUCAUCUCAGCUAUAUCACCUUUCCAAAUCCAACCAAAACCGUAUCUAUGGUCAAAGUCCAACCAAAACUCUGUCCAAAAAGUCCAAUCAAAUCAAAACUCUACUCAAAGAGUCUUAAUCCAAUCAAAACUCAACCUUAAAAGCUACCUGUUUUACCAAAACACUCUAAAAGGUCCCGACACCCAAAUUUUGUUCGAAGAGUACAUGUCAGACUAAAAUUCUUUCAAAGGGCUAAGAUUCUUUCAAAAGGCUUAAUCUACCUCAAGCUCGAUCUUAACCCAUAAAGUUAUAGUCAAGAUGAAACACAGCUACACUAAACCCAACUCACAACCCCAGACCUAUAGUUGUCCUAUUGGAUCUUGUAUUAGGACAAUCUUCUCAGGUAUAAUUCUUAAAAUCUUUAGACAUCUUAGACCUCUUAUUAAAUUACGUGCAAGUGACAUCCUCCAUGACCAAAUAUCAUCUAGUCUUAGGCACACAUAACGUAAAACAUUUAGUUAUAAUUAGGACUUAUUUUCUAGUUAAAGACAGUGAAAAUUUUUGCAAUGGAAACUCAUGUCUAGCAUGUGAUGUAAAAUCUUGUCACAUAGAUUAGAAAUAAAACGAUAUGUUCUAAAUAUGCCCUUGAGGCAUCUUAUUGAACUAUCAUCUAAGUAUGUCAUUUAUAAAAGAUCACAUUACAUGUUUCUUUGGUUAGUCUUUAUUGUCUUUGCAAUAGAACGGAAUGAACUACUUGAUUUUAAUACAAUUGUUUGACAACACAUUGUUUGCAUCAUUUAAUGAUUGAUAAAAAACUCAAGGUUGUCAUCCUACAAGUAUUUUUCUAGAUGCAUACGUGACAACACGAAACAUAUAAAUAGUUUAUACAAAUUGCUUGUCAUCAAGAAUAAAAGGAAAGGCAUGCUCUUUAAUCCAUAAGCAAGUCAAGAUGUUGGUUUGACAUGGAUAAGUAAAGGCUAGGCUUAUCUCUAACAAGGUUUAGAGCAUUGAUUCCUCUAAUAUCUUGUUUACUAUUUUUGAAUUAAAUUUUUUGAUUAAAAUGAUUGUUACCUUGAAAUCAGUAUUGAUUCCUAAAAUAUAAAUAAAUUGAUUGACAAUUCAUAAUCAAAUCUUAGUUCUCAACAUUGAAAAGAGGUGAAACCCGCAUCGCUCACAUCUUUGUUUAAAAGAGCAUUUAAAAUAAAGAAAAAAUAAUAAAGUUUUAAAGUUCUUCAGACAAACGUAAUAAUUGUCUAUGUUUUCACACAAUUUCUGUUUAAUAAAAAAUAUGCAAUGAUAAGUAAUUAUAGACACACAAUUUAAUCCAAUGAUUAAAUUUUAAGAAAUUCAAAAGUGUUCAAUUUUUUAAAAAAAUUUCUAAGUGAAACUUUUCUAAAUUUCAUCAAAAUGUUGGAGAAUUUAGAAUAUUAUUUCAAUAUUACGAAUUUUCAUUUAUUUCUAUAAAUAAAAAUGAACAAAUUAAUUGAUAGAAAAUUAAUUGAUAAAAUAAAAAAGGGAUAGAAGAGCUAAAAAUGUAAUAGAUAAUUGUAAAUGUUUUUAUCACAUAAUACUUAAUAAAUUUUGGAGUAAGUGGGGAAUUUAACUGGUUAUGAAAUUUUAAGAAAGUUAGAGCAUGAAAUUUUUUUAAAAUUUUUUAUGUGAGUAAAACAAUUUAAAAAGAUUAGAAAUACAAAGAUUUCCACUUUAUUUCCAAAAAUAACAAAAUUAAAGGAAAAAUGAUGAAACCUCUUAUAAGAAACGAACAUAUUUUCUUUAAGAUCUAUUGAAGUGAAAAAACUAUUUAGAGGUUCGAUCAAAGUGUUAAAGAAAACAUAAGAAAAAUUUUAUAUUUAAAUAAUAAAUAAAGUAAUGAGAAUAUAAGAAUAGAUACCAAUUUAAUUAAGACUAUUAAAGACAAUAUAAGAUUAAUUGAUAUCAUCUUUGAAUGGUCACUGUGAGAAAUGUUAAUUACAUCCUAUAAACUUAAUUCUGUAAUGUAAACCAAAACUUAUUCUUUUAAGAUCUUUUAGUCAAACUUAAAAAUCAUUUUAAAGAAUAAAUUUAUUUAAGUAAUCAAUCACACCUAAUCAAAAAUUUUGAUAAUUACUUUAUUAAUAUUAGUGAUCAAAUCCACAAUUCCUCAUGUUAUAACAAUAUAAUCAUCAUUGGUUUAAUAAUUAUAAUAUUGCUUCUAAUUGAAAAGAGAAUUUCCUCAUAUAGACAGGGAAAAAUGAUUAUUCUGAUCUUUAAUGAUUUUGAAGGCAAGAAGACUUGGAUCUUAUGAAUUACAUUGGGGCGAUAGUUAUCGUUUCUCAUUUCAUGGGUAAAAAUUCCGAUCAAGUGAGUUUUAUUUCUUCAAAAAUAAUGUGUUGAUUAUGAUUCUCAUGCAUUUUUUACUCUCAAAAUUAAUUUAUCCAAGUGACAGGAUUUGGAAGCGUUAAUAUAGUUAGCAUCAAUUUUUAUAAUACGCCUCAUAGGCCUGAAGAAGAGGAAAAAUAGCUCUUCGAUCAAAAAGAAAUUUUGCCCGUUAACUCCUAAUUUCUUUGCUAACCGAGUUAAGUCCGAAAAUUUAGAAGAAUGAAUUCCAAUAGCUCCCUCUUCUGGUAGCAAUGAUACCUGAUGUAUACUAAAAAUUUAAACGUAAUAGUCAGUGAUAAGUAUUCAAAAUUUCAAAGCAUAAAGCAAAAUAUGUGUUCAGCAAGCAUUACAAAAUAAAACAGUAACAAGAACUUGAUGAAGAGGAAAACAGCUUCUCGCAUAAAAGAAAUUAUGUCGUUAACUCCUAAAUCUCCUGCUAUAAUGAACCCUAAAACUCUUUCAAGUUAAAGUUCGAAAACUCAAAAGAUUGUGUUGCCAACAGCUCUUUUUCGUUGCAAUAAUACCUGAUAUAAAUUAGAAAUUUAAACGUAAUGGUCAAAGACAAGUAUAUAAAAGACGAAGCAAAAUAAAAGUUUAGUAGGCUUACACAAUAAAGCAGUAACAAGAACCUGAUGAUGAGGAAAAAGGAACUUUUCACAUAAAGGAAAUUCUGCCGUUAACUCCGAAAUCUCCUGCCAUAAUGGACCCUAAAACUUUUCCCAAGUUAAAUACUGAAACUCAGAAGAUCGUAUUGCCAACAGCUCCUUCUUCUGGUUGUAAUAAAACCUAAUAUAAACUAGAAAUUGAAACAUAAUAGUUAGACAUUGCCUUCAGCUGUUUGGCCUAGUGGUCAAGACAGCUUUUCAAAAGGCAUCAUGGUUGAGGUUCAAACCUCAACCUUCCCCUCUCCCCUUAAUGUAAGGCUCUGUUCCGUUGAAUGAUAAAAAAAAACAAAAAAGUAAUAGGUAUUCAAAGCAUGAAGCAAAAUAUAUAUUCAACAAGUAUUACAAAAUAAAACAUUAACUAGAUCUAUUUACGUUAACCAUAUGGUAGUAUCAAAGCAAAUGGACAACAUAGCCAAAUAUGGAUGAAAUAAAUAUUCAAAAAUAAAUUUAUAAGUAUUAAAAAACAAAUAAAUUUCAUUGUUAUAAGGAAACCAAGUUUUAUUGUUACUAAUUCAUUUGCUCUCGUGCUUCAUUGCGAGAUUUAUUAAUUUCUAAAUUUUUAUAAGCAAAUAGGUACAAGGAUUAAUAUACUAAAAUAAACUAUAAUCGAUUCCUCUUUUUGCAUAUUGUCUUUUGUUUAGUUUUUUUUUCCCUAAAAUGGGCAACAAACUUAAGUAUUAUGAGUUAUGACAUAAUACACUUUAAAACAAGAACACGAACAUUCAAUAAAGAUGCAAUGCCACACAGCACGAAUAAGACAAUACAAUAACUUUAAAAAUAAAAGAUAUGAAUAUGAUAAAACAUGAUAAUAAAAAAUUUUUUUAUAUAUUUUUAUGUUAAAAUACUCAAUGUAUAUGUAAAUAUCAAUUUGUAAUGUUUCAUUUUUUUUCAAUUUAAAAUUAUAUUUUAUAAUAUAUAAAAUAUUCUUAACUAUAUAAGAAAAAAUUUAUUUUUAAAUACAUACAAGAUAUUAAUUAUUUCAAAAUGAUGAAAUAACAAUAUAGCUCAAACAACGAAAUAAUGUAUUUAAUUUUUAGAAAGUGCGACAGGUUAUAUUACUUUCUAAUUUCAUUUUUUCUUUUUUACUUUUUGGUGUAUAAAAAAAAGCCAAAAAUCACGUUUGGUCUACUUAAACAUGCCUACCCCACCCAUAAAAGACCCACUCUAUCCCUUAUUUUUCUUUUUCUUUUCUUUCCGUUCUUGCUUUUUUGCAUUUCUUCUUUUUCUCGCCUUUUUUAUUUUCCUGUUUUCUUUCUCUGGCUCUUAACAGAUUUUUGACAACCGCUGUCAUCAUCACCGCUAUCAGCCUUUGCCCAUGGACAUUGAAAAAUUAUUUAAAAAUUAUCAGUAAAUUCAUCUAACCUUUUUCUUUCUUCUUAUCUAACAAGAUUUAAAAAAAAAAAAAAAGCUGAAAAAGCCUAGAUCUAAAAAACCCUGUCGAGAUGGUGUGCAACAAGAUUUUUAUUUUUUUAUCGUGUCCUAGCUUGGUAUGUAUGUAUUUUACUGUAUCAACAGUGUGUUCGUGUCGAACACUAAUACAACAUCGGUACAGAAAGAGUAGCCGCAUGUCUGUGCUUUGUAUAUAUACAACGGGUGAAGCCAUGAGGCGUGAGACCAGAUCGCUCCCUUCUCCUCUCUCUCCUCCUUUGCUAUGUCAUUGUAGGUGUUAUUGUUCUUUUAGCUCACAUAUCACUUCUAAUGAGUUAAGAGUCACCUAAUUGAUUCUCAAUUUUAAAUCUUUUUACAAACAUAUGAUUUCCAUUUUAACAUUUUAUUCACUUCAACAAAAGCAGAAUGCCUCUUUAAAACAAUUUUAGAACUUUAAAAAAAUAAACCUCUUCUUGAAGCAAAACUUUCAACCAUGAUAUGACACCCAAUUUCUACUAAGUUGAUAAAAAAAAACGUAAAUAAGAGAAGUUGCUAACUAGAAAAAUUCCACCGCACCAUAGAAAGGUAUCAAUUAAGUAACAAAAAAUUAAUUAAUUAAUAACUAGCAAUUACCAUCUAAGUGGAAAGUUUCACAUGCUUUCAAGCAAGUUUUACUAUUAUACCAAGAAAAAAAAAUAUUAUUUUAAAAUAAAUUGUAAAACAAAAAAAUAAAACAUACAUGAAGAUAGAAACUGAGAGAAGAAAUUACAGUUUCAAGCAACUUAAGAGAAUUUCUCUCACGAUUGCCAGUGAGGGUAGGUCGAACGAAGAGAAAAUGGUGAAAUAUGGAAGAAUAAGUGUUUAGCUUAUGGAGGAUUUGGAUGUAGAAUAUAGAAAAAAGAACAGCUAAGGAAAGGAAAAGUUAAAAGGGCCAAGAAAGUACGCGGAAGUUUGUUGUUUGAAGACUUGCAUGGCGGUCUUUGCAAAUUAAUAGAAAGUUUUAAUAAAGUUUCAACAAAUUAAUUUGAAAAUUAUGGUAAAAAGAUAAAUAAAAUUGGAAUAAAGUGAAAAAAAUUCAAUAUUGAGUUUUUUUGGAUUAAUUAAUUGAUUAAUUUUAUCAAAUGAAGCACAUUUUACCUAUAUAAUAAAAUAUUUUAAUUUAUUAAUUUGAAUUUUUAUUUAAUUAUUUUUAAUAAAAAUUUUACAAAAUUUAAAUAAUUUUAUCCUAAUUUUUUCUAAGAAUCUAUCAAACUAUCUUACUUUUUUAACCAUAAUUAUGGAGAUAAUUCUCAAUUUAUUUUUUAUUUUCUUAAUAUAGUACCAAAGAGGAUCUUUUCUCUAUCAAGCUUUUUCUUUUCCUUUCCUGCGCCUGUUGAUCCUCCACCACACCAUCUUACUGUGCGGGUUUAAUCUUUUGAAUGUAUAGAUGAUAUAUUUAAAUUUUAUAAAAUGCGUUUAAAUGAAAUUUUUUAUAAUAUUGAAAAUGCUGAAAUUAAAGUCCGUGCGAAGGCCAAUAAAAUUAGUACGAAUUGAUCAGCCACCAAAAACGUCAGUUACGAAAUGUCAAAUCUUGAAACAGAGAGGCAUCCAAUCCCAAUAAAAUCUAAAAAAGGAGAAAGCGAGAUGUGAAAAGUAAUGGAGUAUGGGUAAAAGUUUAAAGGGUAAUCGAAUCGAGCGAAAUAGUGAGAAGUUUGAGUUCGAUUCAUAAUUUAAAGUUUGAUAUUUGAUUUAAAUUUGAUUAAAUUUUAAUUUUUAAGUUUGAAUUUGAUUUAUGAUUGAAUUUAAGUUAUUUGAGUUUAUUUAAUUAAAUUUGAUUAAUAUAUAAAAAUAAAUUUGAUUCGUAUAUUCGAUAAGAAUUUAAUUAUUCAUGCUCAAACUCGAACUUAAAUUCGAACUCAAAAUAUUUUAUUAAUUAAAAUAAUAAAAAUAUAUUUAAAUAUAAAAAUUUGAUUAAAUUCGUGAAUUACUCAAAUAUGAUAUAAAAAUAUUUGAAUUCAAUUUGAUCGAUAAAUCAAGCUAUUCGAAUUCAAAUUCGACUCGAUAAUAAUCAAAUCAAAUUUAAAUUUUUUUUAAUCGAAUCCAAAUAAUUUAUUAAUAUUAAUGUAUUAUUUACACCCUAAUAAAAACCAUUCCUCGUUCAAAAUUUAGGUCAGAAAAAGUAGAAUUUCACAGUCGUACGUACUCAGAAAGAAAAUGAAGUUUGCCGCUCAUUUAUAAUGACAUACAGCUGUUAAGAUAAGGGAAAAUCGAUUAUUUAAAUAUCUUAUGUAAGCAAUGAUGUAAAAAGUUCUAUUUUAAAUGAUUAUAUUAAUUUAAAAUUUAAUUUAAUUAAUUUAUAAAACUAUUUUUAAAAAAUAACACUCAAAACAUUUUUUUAAUUUCAAACGACAACUUUGUUUAUAAAAAAUUUUGUUUAUAUUUGGAAUUUAUACAGUUAAUUUUUUUGUGAAAAAAAUUUAAAAAUAAGAGAAAUUAUUUAAAGUUAGCCGAUAAUCUAUAAAAAAAAAUUACGAAUCAUUUAAGAUUUUUUCAAUUUACAAACUAUCUAUUAAUAAAAGAGUAUAAAAAUUUAAAUUUAAAUAUUUUAUAUUUAUAUUUUAAAUUUUAAUCACUUAUAUGAAUCUCUAUUUUAUAUUAAUACAGUUAAUUUAUAUUUACAUAAACUCGAUUGUGACAAUUUCAUUAAAAUAAUAUAAUCAAAAUGUACUUCUUUUCAUUUUAUUUAUAAAAUCAAAAGAAAAGUUUUUUGCCAAUUAAAUUAAUUUUUAAUCAAUUUUUAACACCUUAAUAUUCAUUUAAAUUUUAUCAUAUUUUUAAUAUAAUUAAUUAAAUUUAUCAUAUCAUUAAUUAAAUUUAAAUAUUAAUUUUAAUAAAAUUCAUUUAAUAUAAAUUUUUAAUUAAAUUUUUUAUUCACAAUUAUAAUAAUUUUUUUAAUUAUAAUUAUAAUAAUUUUUAUUUUUAUUUUUACUAUAAUAAAUCUCAUUAUCCAUCCAAAUAAAAAUUUUAUUUUCUUCAUAUCAUAACGUUACUUUUUUUAGUAACUUAUUUUAAAAGUCAAGUCCUUUCAGGCUCUUUCCUAUGAUCCAUCACGGAUCACAAUUUUCUAUAUGUAGAAUAAAAGUGAAUAUGCAAUAAUUACAAUAAAAAGUUAAUGGUGAAAAAAAUUAAAAAUUGAUUUAAAAUUAUGAUGUUAAAUUUAGUUUAGAUCAAUUUUUUAUUAAAUUUAGAUCAAAUUUAAAUAUUAAAUGUAUAUAUUAAAUUUAGAUCAAAUUUAAAAUUUGAAUAUGAAAAACGAAAAAAAAAUCAAAUCAAAUUAUAUAUAUUUAUUAAUUUAUAUAUAUAUAUAUUUAAAAUUUUUAUAAAAUAAAAAUAAUUCUUUUUUAUAAAUCUAUUUAAAUAUAUUAAAAAUUAGAUUAAAAUAAUAAAUAAAAAUUUUAAAUUUAAAAAUUAAUAAACCAAAUCGAAUUAAUAAAAUUCAAUUUUGAUCAGAUUAAUUCAAAAAAAAAUCAAUUAAAAUUCAGAUCAAAUUUUAAAAAUUCUUAAUAUUAUACAUUCUAAAAAAAUGAACUAAAACCAAUCAAAUCUAAAUAGUUAUCACUCCUAAAAAAAAAUUAUUAUUACCAAAAAAAAAUUUCACGCUAUUGCUAUAUAUAAAAUCCUUUAUUUGAAAUUGAAGUGCACGUUUGGUCAAAUUACCAGCUACUUUAUUUCUUAUCCUUUGAGAAGUUUACUAAGUGUAGAGUGAAAAUUUUCAAGUAAUUUCGACCAAAAAAACCUUUUUUUCAAGUAAUUCCUUAAUUUGUCUCUUUUAAAGAAUGUUUAUGUUUGGUUUAGUCUCUUUAGGAUAUGAUCAUUUGUAAUAUUCCACGAUGAUAAAGCUUGACAUGAAAAAGUACUUGUAAACUAAAAAGUACUUGUAAACUAAACUAGGGAGACUUACAUUAUAAGAAGUCUCUUUAGAAUAUCGUCUUGAAAUAUUCAAAGAUAAUAUUACAAAAGAACAUAUUUAAAGGAGACUUAACACAAUACAAGCAUUCAUUUAAAAAAAAUUAAGAAACUACAUAGAAAUUAAAACCAAUUCCCGGAACCUUCAGCAAUCAAGUCCUACUUUAGUUCCUGUACUUCAGAAGUUUACUAGGUAUUGAGUAAAAUUUUCCAAGUUGCUUCUUUGUCUCCUUUGAAGAAUGCUUGUCUUGUUCUUAAUCUCCUUAAAUAAAUACCUUUUGCAAUAUUCCAAGCUGAUAUAUAGAAUUUGGUACCGAAAACUACUUCUAAACUAUUACAGGAAAUGAAAUUUUCACCACAUAUGUUGACAAAAAAAUGCUGGAAUUAAAGAAUGUAUUAAAGUCUGUGCAAAGGGCAAUAAAAUAAUUGAGGACAAGAGUGAAAAUCAGUACAAACUGAUGAGUCACCACAAAAAGGAGGUACCAAAGGCAUCCAGUGCCAAAGAUAGCAGACGUCUCAGCAAGUCCAUCCACGGCGAGGACAAAGCAAGUACAGUUUCUCAGAUUUACAAGAUAAUAUUUAUGUAAAAAACAAAAGUAGUCUGGAUAAAAACAAUCCCUCAGUGCAAAUUUAACUCAGAAGAGAUAUUGCCAACUAAUGAGGAAAGUAGAAUUUCACAGUCGUACCUAUCGUCAGAA
rnacentral:lncRNA from 1 species